AUACGUAGGUGGCAAGCGUUGUCCGGAUUUACUGGGUGUAAAGGGUGCGCAGGCGGGACUGCAAGUUGGAUGUGAAAUUCUGGGGCUCAACCUCAGACCUGCAUCCAAAACUGUGGUUCUUGAGUGGAGUAGAGGUAAGCGGAAUUCCGAGUGUAGCGGUGAAAUGCGUAGAUAUUCGGAGGAACACCAGUGGCGAAGGCGGCUUACUGGGCUCUAACUGACGCUGAGGCACGAAAGCAUGGGUAGCAAACAGGAUUAGAUACCCUGGUAGUCCAUGCUGUAAACGAUGAAUGCUAGGUGUGGGGGGACUGACCCCUUCCGUGCCGGAGUUAACACAAUAAGCAUUCCACCUGGGGAGUACGAUCGCAAGAUUGAA
rnacentral:rRNA from 1 species